rnacentral:misc_RNA from 1 species
ACGCCAACCGGCCAUGUCCUUUGGAUGCUCUCUGGGCUCCUUACGAUCUGUUGCAGACACCAUUCGCUCUUGAAUCUUAGAAAGUUUACAGAUUGGUAGAGUUCUAUAUAUCAAAUAAGAAACAUUGCAUAUAUAAUUUUUUUGAAGGUAAAAUUUUUGUGGUGUUCAAUGAAGGCAGAGGAAAGGUUGUGUACUUUCGUUUAUAGAUUACACAACCAUUGACAGACCUUAGAGCUUGCUUAAUUCCUGUUUUUGGGGCUUGUCCGUCCCUGAGAACAGUAAUAUUUAUUACUUCUAAUAUAUAAAAAAGUACGAUUGAUGAAACUGUAUAAAGGGUUUAUUCA